AAAAAUUAGAAACUAGACUUUUGAAAUUCCAAAUGUCCUCACAGAACUCAACACCGUCAAUGGCAAAAACACACACGCAGGUUAAUUAAGUCAUGCCUUGCCUCUCAAGAAGUGUCGCAUUCUCGAGAAAAAUUCCAUUUACAUUAAAGGUCGUGUGUAUGUAGCAUAAAAAUUGGAUUCUUUAAUUUAUAUGUAACCAAUCGAAAAAAAAUAAUAAUAAUCUACAGCAGUCAAAGUUGCCGUCUAUCUUGUCUUCUAACUUGUAAUUAUUAUAAAAAUCUAGUUUUCCACUUAUCUAGAAGUGAGUGUGUGUGUGUGUGGAUAGAUCUCACCUCACAUUCACAAAUCACAAUAGCAGAAGAUUAUGGCAACAAAAGUGAAGGUUUUGGGGGUUUGGUGUAGUCCUUUUGUGUUUAGGGUAGUAUGGGCAUUGAAGCUAAAGGGUGUUGAAUUUGAAUACAUUGAAGAAGACAUCUUUAACAAAAGCACCAGGCUUCUUGAGCUGAACCCAGUUCAUAAAAAGGUUCCUGUGCUUGUUCAUGAUGACAAAGUGAUAGUUGAGUCGCUUGUUAUUCUGGAGUACAUCGAUGAGACAUGGCCACAAGAUCCGUUGCUGCCUCAAGAUCCUUAUGAAAGAGCCAUGGCUCGAUUUUGGGCUAAAUUUGCAGAUGAAAAGGUGAGUGUUAAUGUUUUUACAACUUUGAAUUCAAUUAAAACUUCGAUUUGAUUUUUUCAAAACAAGUUUGUGGUUUUUCUGUUAAAGUUCUCUCUGAACUAAAAUACUGGUUUGGCCUCCUAAUUUUUUAUUUUUAGCUGAUGCAAACUGCAUGGAAGUCAACGUGGACCAAAGGAGAGGAAAAAGAGGAUGCUCUGAAAGCAACAAUGGAAGCUUUGGAGAAGAUAGAGGGAGAACUCAAAGGAAAAAGCUACUUUGGAGGAGAGAACAAAUAUGCGUAUUUGGAAAUUGCAAUUGGAUGGAUCAAUUACCUUAUACCAAUUUGGGAAGAAAUUGCAUCCAUUCAAUUUCUUGACCCGAAAAGAUUUCCAACCAUUACUGCAUGGAAAAGCAAGUUUCUGGAUAACCCUUUGAUCAAAGAAACCCUGCCACCAAGGGAGAAAUUGCUUAUCUAUUUUCACGAGCGCGUCAAACAUUGGGAGAUUGACGCUACAAUCCGUGAACUGGCGGAGACCAAACUUGAAAAUUAAUUAAUUAAUCGAAUUAUCAUCUCUGCACGUGUCUCCUUUUUGUACGCUCUGUAUGAUUUCAUUGUUUUUUAUUAUUACAAGUACUUUGUGUCAAGUUGAAUCUGUAUUGAGAAAAUAAAGAAGAGUUAUGACUAAGGAUGGUAAUUGUACCCGCAAACUCGUAAAUUUAUCUAAAUUCACCCGUUAAAAUUCGUUUGCUGUGGGUAAUUUUAUCCGUUGCGGGUGGGUUUAGUAUUAUAAACUAAAAUCCGCAUAUGGAUGCGGGUGUGUUUGGUAUUAAUCUUAUAUCUGAUGGAUACCCGCAUGGAUAUCCACCAAACCCGCAAUAUUUUUUUCAAAUAUUUUUAAUUUAAUUUUAAUCUAAAAAUGUAUAAAGAAAAUAAUGUCAUUAUUUAAAUUACCAAAUAGUCAAAAGCUCAAAGUUGUAUAUGUGUGUAUGUGACCCAUCUCCCAUUCUAAAGUCAUAACCUAAAGAAAACUAAAGUCAUUUCCCUUCGAAUUAAUAUUUGAAAAUAUUAAUCUUAAUUAUUAUUAUAGGCAUUGUGUUGGAUGGGUGCUUAUGGUGGUGAAUGAAAUGAAUAUCUUCUCUUGGAGCUUGUUUUAAAUGAUAAUAUGAAAUGUAAUUAUUAUUUUUAGAUACUAAUUUGUAUUUUUUAAAUGAAUUUGUGUAAUUUAUACUUAAAUUUGAGAAUUUGUGUUGAAUUGAUGUGGAAAUUUUACUUUUUUAUUUACAUUAUUUAAAUAUAAAAUUGAGUAUGUUAUAUGGAAUUUGAGGUUAUUAUUAUAAAUUUAUAUAUUAAACAUUUGUGAUUUUAAAUACGGAAACCCGCAAAAAAUCCGCCGGGUACCAUUGCGGGUUUGGUAAUUGUUAAAACCCGCUGUGGGUGGGUUUUUUUAAAAAAACUAAAACCCGCUGCGGGUUGCGGGUGGGUUUGGUAAUUUAAAUUUUGUGCGGGUUUGGGUUUGGUAAUGGCAAACCCGCUGCGGGCGGUGCCCAUUGCCAUCCCUAGUUAUGACAUAUUUAUUAUACUUUGACGGGACAAAAAUUAUACAUUACUUUUAUGGAACAAUUUUUUCAGAUAUAUGGAAUGUGUAGCUAGAUCAAGAGAUAAAGAGUUAAAGAGUUGAGAUUAGCUUCAAUCUCCAUAGCCUAAAGUUCAUCCUAUAUUAAUGUAGGAUUUUUCCUUAAUUAACAUCUGUUAUGUGCACAUCAAUUUUUUUUUUUUUUGUUAGAUCCUUGUCACAUAGAAAGAUAAUUUGGGUCCACUCAUAGGUGAAUUUUUCCAUUAUACCAUAUUGAAAUCUAUGAGUUUAAUUCAUGUUCAAAAACUCAUUUAGAUCUGAGGAAUAUUGCCUUUAACCCAAUAUUCAUUCGCAAUUAAGUGGAGAUCCUCCAAUGUAAUGAAAAAUUGUUUUAUUAAAUUAAAUUAAACAAGAAAAACAUUUCAUCAAUAUACUAUAAUGGGAAGAGCAUUUGGCGCCCCUGAGCAUUAAUUAAACUUAUUUUCUAUUAGAAUUUUUGUUGCUAGUAUAAUUAUUGGGCAAAUUAAUUGUUUCCAAAAGGGCAUCAUACAUUAGUUCUUAUCAUUUUUGUUAACUUCAUAUAAUUAGGAGAAAUUCUAUAAACAGACUCUUAAAGAUUUUAGAUUUACAAGCUAUAAAAUAAGAUGAAAAAAAAAAUUACCUUAUAAUAAUUGUAUGUUACAAUGAUAAUAAGUUUUGUAAGAUAGACGGACCCAAUAUAAGAUGAGUUAAAAAUAUCAAAUAUAUACAUCAAUUAUUCGGAGGUAUGUAUAGAACAUUCAAUUUAUAUUCUACUAACAUUGUGUUGCUAAAAAAAUAAUGUUAUUCUAGUUUAGUUAGGAUAACUAGUUUAUAUUCCAAUUAAUGUGACAUUAUUUGAUUAACUUAAGUGAUAGUUAGUUAUUAAGUUUUAUCAUUUCACAUAAAUUGAAAUAUAAACAAAAUAUUCCAACUAAAUAAAUAUAGCAUCACCCAUUUUUAAAAAUUUUAAGUUUUUGGAAAUAACAAAUAUCUCCUGUUGUAUAUAUAAUAUAUUAAUACCCACAGAUGAUAAAUUUAUUAAAAUAAAAGAAUUGCAAAGAAUACAACUAGCAGCUAGUUCGAGAAGGAUCUAAGCGAGCCUUACUCUUAACAAAUUAACCAUUUUCAAAGCCUAUGCCUAUUAGAAAAGACACUUAAAAAUAAUGAAUAAUCAAACAGAUCUGCAGUAAGGUAGAUAUCACAAGAUAUUGUGAUGUAAUCAAUUAUGAAUUUAUGUUGGACUAUUAAUGUUGUUGUUACACUUAGAAAUUCCCGGCCAUUGCUGAAUGGAGCACCAAGUUUCUGAAACACCCUGUCAUCAAAGAAAACUUGCCACCCAGGGACAAGACGCUUGCCUAUUUUCACAGGCAAGCAGAAGAGAUAUAUGCCGACUUUUGUGCAUCGGAGAAUUAAAGUUGGAAUGUUGUGUGUAAUGUAUAUUUCAUCUUUAAAUCAAAUAUUUAGAAAGAAUAAGAUGAUAUCCUAUGAUUAGGCCUAUGUUCUAUAAUAUGCAAGAACUGCCUGUUAUGUCUUCAUAAAUUUGGAAGCCUACAAAGAACUAGGAAGCUUCUCUCUUUUUAUCAGAAUUUUGCAAAUAACGGUUGUAUAAAUGGUUUCAAAGAUGAGUUUAUUUAGUAAAAUAAUGGGAGUAGUAAAUUUUAGUUAAGGGACAGAGGUUGCAUUAGGCAUCCUAGUGGGUGUAUAGCUAAAAAAAAUUAUUUUUUUAUAUAUUUAAUAAUAGAUCUUUUGAAAAGAUGGGUUUAUAAAAUAGUUUAGUGGAUGACAUCACUUAAAUUUUAACAAAUAAUAAUAAUAACAACUCUCUAAAGAAAAUCAAGCAAAAAUAAUAAUAGCUUGAAGACUUAAUACUACCAGGAGAAGCUGCAAGCAUCAUGAGACAGGAUAGCCUUAAGCCCUUGACCAUAUCUUGGGGCCUGCAUCACUGUACCACCACCCAAAUCAUCAUACUACAGGCCCAAUUUAGAGAAGAAAAUUCUAUGGGUUUACUAAGGGCCGAAUUCAAUCUAAUUCAAUCUACUUAAAUUAAUAUAGGUUGAUUGGGUUAUAAUGGUUGAUUCGUUCAAUUUAUUAACUAGGGAUAAUUGACUGCCUUAUUUUAUCUCACUAGCCCGCCACUUUUUAGUUAAAUCCAUUAAAAAUUUUAAAUUAAUUUUUAUCUCUUAAAAUAUCUCAACUAAUCCCAAUUUUAUUUUUAUUAUAAUUUUUAUUUUUUUCCAACCAUCCAUCGUAUAAAACUUAUGAAAUCUAUUUUAAAAAGAAAAAAAACUCUAAAAACUUUUAAAAAGAAAAUAACAUCAUGUUAUUUAUCGUUAGAUGUUGGUUACAAUGGAAAAUAUUUAAUUUUAUGAUGGAGAAUUAUGUGCUUUUUUACUAUUUGAAUUUAAUUUUAAUUUCCAAAUUGUUUUUUAAACUUUUAUAUUUGAAUUUUUUGUAUUUUUAAUUUUGAUUAAUUCGAUCAACCCAACCAAACCAUUGCCGAUGAUUUAAGAGUUGGAUUGGGUUGGGUUUGACAUGUUUAUUUAUUUAAUUUAUUAAUUCUUCUCAACCCAAUUAACAAUGGAUUGAGUUGGAUUUUUAUAAACUGAAUCCAAUUCAACCCAUGUCCACCUCUAGAAAUUAAAUUCUUUUGUAAAAUAGUGUUAGAAAAAUAUUUUAACAAGGAACUAUUUUUAAAUUAAAAAAGGGGAGAAGUUCUCAUCUCUACAUAGGAUAUUGUUGCAUAUAAAACAUUGAAAUGAAAAAAAAAUAAAAUUAGAAACUAGACUUUUGAAAUUUCAAAUGUCCUCACAGAACUCAACACCAUCAAUGGCAAAAACACACACGCAGGUUAAUUAAGUCAUGCCUUGCCUCUCAAGAAGUGUCGCAUUCUCGAGAAAAAUUCCACAUACAUUAAAGGUCGUGUGUAUGUAGCAUAAAAAGGGAAAUUUACGAAAAUAACCAUUAAUAUUUUAUUAUUUUCGCAAUUAACCCUCUCAACUUUUUUCUAUCAACAUUAGCCAAACACAAGUCUUUCUUCCCAAAUUACCCUUCUUUACAGAACAAAACCAACAUUGUUUCUCCCAUAUCGCCAAACCAAAAGCAGCUUUUCACUCUUGAAUCAUCAGCCAACGGCGACCGCAAAAGACAACGGUAAAAGUGAUAUCCGAUCAUAAUCUAUCCGGAUCCAACACAAAUCGACAUCACUUAGUGGUAUGAAUUAUUUUAUGAACUUACUGAACUGAGUCGGGUGAAUCUGAAUCUGGCGACAUGCUGCUUGUCGCAGCAAAACUUGGUGCGACAGGCAACCUGUCACACCAAACCUUGGUGUGACAGGCACCCUGUCGCACCAAGCUUCGGGCGACAGGCACCCUGUCGCACCAAGCUUCGGGCGAUAGGCACCCUGUCGCACCAAGCUUCGGGCGACAAGUUGCCUGUCGCACCCACCCUGGAGAUUCAUUAAAACUGUAUUAUUUUAAUAGGACUCAAAAUUUUUUUUUUUUAUAAUUUCAGGCUUAAUGGAUUCAGUUGUACUUGAAUUGUGUUACGAUGGUUGGUGGGAGACAUUAGAGAAUGGCCGUAUGGAGUACGUGAAUGGUAAAAAUCGAGCUUUUUUGGUUGGAAAAAAUUAUCUGUUUGAUCAAUUAUUGGCAAGAGUAUACGAGGUGUUACAAAUAAACCCUAAUGACUAUAGUAUCACAAUGAAGACAACUUUGAGAUCUAGUAACACAUUAUAUCGUAUAUGUGCAAUGCUCAUGGAUAUAUGUGAUGAUGAAAUGGUGAGGGUUGUGUUGCAUAUGGCAUCUGACGUAGCUAAUUUUGGAUGCAUUCCUAUAUUCGUGACCACAUCACCUCGAGUUCCGAGCGAAGGUAUUGAGCCACAUGUCGAUACAGUAACUUCGUUUAGAGCAAAUAUGUCUGGCCCCGAUAAUGAUGAAGAGGUGUUGCCAAGGACAAUAUCGCUGCAGCAAUAUUACUCUCCAAUCCACGACAAUUAUGACAACAUUGAUGAUAAUGGCAUUACGUUACAGGAUGUUGGAGCAACGAUAUUUCCAAUAACAACGUCGUUGGAGCAACGAUAUUCUCCGUAUCAUAACAAUGAUUUUCGGGACAAUGAUGAUUUUCAUAAUGAGACAGAGCGGGAUAAUGUUUGUGCAGAACCUUCUAAUAAUACGAGGCGGGGCACUCGUUUCAAUAAUGAUGGUGAUGAUGGAGGAGCCGGUCCUUCGAAUGUUCCGUCGUUUCAGCAUGAGGAUGAGUGUGAAGACAAUACUCUUGUGAAUAACAGAGGCAAUAGACCUAUUCCUUCUAUGGUUCGAUCGAGAAGGAAAAUUGACCCCCUUACAAGUCUUGCUCCAACUUUGCCUUCGAACAUGGUUGCUCCAAGUUUUGUUAGCAGUUGUGACUCAGAUGAUAUCAGCGUGGGUAAGCUAUUUGCUGAGAAGAAUGAGCUUAUAUUACAACUACGCAAGGUGGCCUUUAGAGAUAAGUUUGAUUUCAAGAUUGCACGGUCUACUACGACACGUUUCGAGGCUCAUUGUUGUUCAGAAUUAUGUAAAUGGCGUAUUCGAGCAACUAGAAGUUCGAACGAGAAAAAUGUUCCUUGGGUGGUGAAGAGAAUUGAUAAUGUACACACUUGUCAUAAUGAGGUAUUGGUUGAUGGACGUCAUCAAGUAAGGAGCCGGGUUGUCGGUCAUAUUAUCGUAGAAAAAUAUAUUCAAGAUAAGAGAAUUUAUACUCCCAAUGACAUAAGAGCAGAUAUGCAACAGGAAUACGGUGUUCAGUUAACAUACCAGCAGGCAUAUAGGGCGAGAGAAGUUGGUCUUGAAAUAGUUCGCGGCAACCCUGCAGAGUCAUACAACUUGCUCCCUAAAUACUCUCACGUACUAACUACAGCGAAUGAGGGUACAAUCACUCACCUCGAGCAGGAUGGAGAUGGUAAUUUCUUAUACUAUUUUGUAGCACUCGGAUCUUCCAUCAAGGGGUUUAUGCAGUACAUUCGGCCUGUCAUUGCUGUAGAUGGUACUCAUCUGAAGGGACUAUAUCGUGGAAGCAUGUUCGUGGCAACAUGUCUUAAUGGUAACAAUCAAUUGUAUCCGUUAGCCAUUGGGAUCAUGGAUUCAGAAAACAAUGAUGCUUGGGAAUGGUUUAUGAUAAAGUUACACGGAGUGAUUGGUGAUAGACCUGAGUUGGUAAUUAUCUCUGAUCGAUGCACUGCCAUAAGGAGAGCCGUUCUUAAAGUAUUUCACAAUGCAACUCAUGGCGUUUGUUUUUACCACGUCAAAGGUAACAUUAAGUCACAAUUUAGAAUGUCCAAAGCUCUUUGGGAUGAAUUUGAGCCUGUCUUUAUUAAUGCAGCAAAAGCAUAUGGCCACGAGGAAUUGAAGAGACAACUUGAGGGGUUGUGGAUGAUCCACUCGGGUGCGGCUGAUUACCUAGAAAAUAAUGUCGGUAUGUGUAAUUGGGCAAGGUCUCAGUUUGAAGGUAGGAGGUACAACAUUCUUACCACCAACAUCGCGGAGAGUGUUAAUGCUUUCAUGAGGGAACCUCAAAAAUUUCCUGUUACUCAUCUUGUUGAUCACUUUAGGAAAACAUUACAGCAAUGGUUUUAUGAUAGAAAAAUUAUGGCUGAAUCAAUGACUACUCGGCUAACAACAUGGGCGGAUGAAAUAGUCACUGAGAGGAGAACUAUAACUGAAAGAAUGAUAGUUCGGCCGGUGUCUCCGCAUCGCUUUCAAGUUAUAGGUGGUGGGCUUAAGGAAUGGUUGGUUAACUUGCAAAAGAGAACUUGCUCCUGCAGAGUGUUUCAGCUUGAUCAGCUUGUGUGUGCUCAUGCAAUUGUGGCGUGUCUAACACACCGGGUGGAUUUUAUUAACCUUUGCUCGGACUUUUACACUACAGAAUCGUUGGCGAUGGCUUAUGCACAACCAGUGGAGCCAGUUGGUGAUGUGGCUGAUUGGGAAGUUCCAGAUGAAAUUCAGGAGAUGCAAGUAUACCCACCAGUUGAGGCACCACCACUUGGUCGUCGUAAAGAGCUCAGAAUACCCUCGGCUGGCGAGGACGUUGACUGGCGGACUAUAAGAUGCGGCCGGUGUCAUGAACUAGGUCAUAAUCGUAAGCGAUGUAAGAAUCCUAUUGCGUCGACUCGAAGUUAGUUGUAUUUUGUGUGUUAUUCGUUGGUUAAAACUAUUAUUGUUUUUGUGUAUUGUACACUUAUAUUUCAUAAAACUUUAUUUUAUUUUAAAGUUCAAAAUGUGAGGCAUUAAAAUUAUAUAAACUUAAGUGUGCAAAUUAAAAAAAAAAUUCAAAUUUCAACAUUAAAAUUACUACAUAGGUCUACAAUAUAAUAUCGUCAUUAAAUAUAUCAACCGCAAUCUUCUUUCUAAAGUACUCGACAUGACUAGCGUUAAACUCCAAUCUAAGCCCGAACAUUAAAUACAUCGUAACCAUCAAUACGAAAACACCGCAAUCGCCAGUUCCGGGCUCUUGUUGCGGCGCGCUCUUAACUGCGUUAACUUUCCACGGGUCUUCACUUCGCAACUCAGGUCGGAUAUUGUAGAAGCCAACAUAUUCCAACCAUCGAGGGAAUAUAACUUCAAGUGGCUUGAAUUUCAACUUGUACCUUUUGUCGUCGCGAAAUGUGAGUAAUGAGUCAUAAAUCCAGACUUUAUUUUUCCGAAAGUCAACUCAUGCUAGUACCCAAUGCGCGUCGUCCAAGUUAACAGGGAUGAGUAACUGCAUAUAAAAAUUGAAAAACAUGUUCGUUAUAUAUGCAAUUGAAAUACAACAAAGAAAAAGCAACAACUCGAAUAUUUUCAUUAUAGAGCAUGUGAAAUGUAAUAAAAUACAUAUCGUAUCGACAUCCGUCAUUGAUUUUGACAUUGUGUGCUGUCGCCCACAAAGAUAACUAUUCAAGUGGUCGUCGAAUACCAUUGAAUCGACUGCACAAUUCCCGUUAUUCCAUAACUGAUUCAAGAACACCUAGUACAUAGAUAACCAAGAAAUGCAUAAAUUAAUAAAACUUAAAGGCAAUAAUUAAAAAAAAAUUAAAUAGUAUUUAUAAGUUUUGUCGACACGUUACCCAAAAAAAUGUGUCAGUAUGUGUGACACGUUGGAGUAAGGCAUUUGGAUACUGUCGUUGUUUCUCGCUAAUUAAGCGGAGAUACUCGUGAAUAUGCUGUAGAGAAACAAAAAUAUUACGAUUUAAAAAAAUAAUUUAUAUACAAAUCCACAACAGUAUACACCACGAGGAAAAUAUAAAUACCUCAUCGCCUAGCCAUCCCAUCGAAGCUGUCCCCAAAAUUAUUUGAAAGAAUGACCGCGGGUGCUGGACUCUCCGGCGGACUCUGCUAUCACCAGUGAACCAUCGAUCAAACUCAGCAAACAGACUAGAGUCCUCCAAUCCUCUCAGUGGAUUUACAUUCACACUCGUACUCAUGUCAAUCGCAUGCUCCAUGAUUUGGGGUCGAGGUAAAGGCCGGACGUUCUGUCCUCGUCUGACCGGAGGAAUCAUGUAAGGACUGUUAUAAACAUACGACGGUAUGUACGCGCGGCCGAACUUACUAACGCCCGGAGGCACCUUUGUGAACACCUGCACGCUCUCCCCACUAACAUCCCCGUAGAAACUAUACAAUGACGUGGGCGUAGACAAAUUUUCAUUGCCCACGUCAGUAUACACUCCAUAGUCAUCCGGGGCCUGUACAUUCGCCAAAAAGAACAUAUUAAAUAACUAUCAAAUUAAAAGUUAAACGAACAUAAUUAUUAAAUUUAAACUAGCUUACCGCAUACGAGCGUGCAGUGGGAGAAUCCUUAUUUGGACGUUUAGAAAAUGUGUCGAUGAAGCCAACAACAGUUUCUUUAAAAUCUUUUAAUUCUGACUUUAUUUCAUACACGUUACGAUCAAUCUUAUCCAGCCGUCGUCGUACGUAAUCAUUAAACUGCUUUGUCCUCGACUAUUACAAAAGAAAAAAAUAAAACUUUAGAAUAACAAUAAAAAAAAUAAUAAUUUAUAAAGGAAAAAUAUCGUAUAUUAUUUAUAACCUCAUAAUCCCGUGCGUCAUCAGAGUUGUCUGUUUGCUGCUGGUGGUCAUCAACAGCCACUUCAUCCUCAAAAGUGUCAUGACCCACCUCAUCUUCAAAAGUGUCAUGACGUUGCUCUGGUAUUGUGUUUGGUAUGUCGUCAUGAUCGUCAUGCUUGUCUGAUUGCCUUGUAACCGACGACAUCGCGUUGAUUGAGGGUUGGUGCUAUAUAAAGUAUCAUUUAAAAUUAGUAAAUGAAAAGUCAAAAAUUUCGAUUAACAAAUUUUUAGUACUUAGAGUAUACCGACUUUAUGAACCCAGUCUGGAAUGCUUGGCAAGUAAUCCUUCACAGAGAGCCAAUAUUUUCUGCUACUCUCCAUUGAAUUUGGCUCAAGAGUUUGCAAAACGUCCCCCUGCCAUAAAUUCAAUUAAAAAUUUUAAGUGAGUAUACAUAACUUAAAUUUAGUAAAGUUAAAAAAAAAUAAGUAAUACAUAUUACUUACAAGACGAGAUUCAUCGUUGAAGAACGAAUAAACCUCCGCAAAGUUGAUUCUCGAAGACGCCAUGGGCUUCCAUUGCAGAAUGCGGGGAAUCUUAUUCUUCGUUUUGACGACCCAUGUUGAUGGCAACCCUCCGAUUGCUUCGUAAAUCCAAGCCUACAACAACCAAAGUGAAAAAUCAAAUAAAACAAUUAUCAAAUAUUUAAUACUAUAAAACUUAUUAAUAAACGAAAAAAAAGCACUUGAACCCCAGACGUAAAGCCGUAAAGAUUGUAUUUUUCAAUAUUAUGAUCUGGAUUUUUCAACCGAGUCUUCUUAAAUUUCUCGUCUUUCUCGAACAGUGCAUUGUCAAGACUCUCGUAAAUCAUUUCCCACGACAAUAGACCCCAUAGACGCUUUCGGAAGUACUGUAUAUCAUCAACUUGGUCAAGCCAAUCGAAAUUAAUUUGACAGUGAUUUUUUCUUGCAUUUAGUACUCUGUCCGCAAAAUAAAACAGCGCAAUCUUUAAUGCGUCUAUAUCGUCCAUUUCCUCAAAUUUCAACUCCUUAAAUACUGCAUCGAAUUGCUUCACAUUAAUCUUACGAUGCACACCACCAAAAUACGUAUUCCGUAGCCUCUGCUCCAUUUCAUCAUUUUUUUGAUUGGUAUCAACACCAAAUGAAAGUCCAGUAACCAAGCACCAUUCGACAAUUGACAAGCGAAUCAAAUGCUUACCAAUUUGAAACCAUAACUGAUCCUCACGGCUAUCUUCUUCAUGGGCCACUUGCCGCAGUAAAAGAUUGUGCAAAAUUACCCCACUAAAUGGAAAACUUCGACACUCCAAGAAAUGCCCAAAUAUAUCCUUUUUUAACAUACUCAACUGCCGCUUUGUUAAUUUUUCCUCGAUGGCUUUUACGAUCGAAGAUAACAUACACAUGCUCGAAAUUCGACUAGGAAAGUGAUCAGCAUAACAAAAAUACAUCUUGCCUACUUCAAUAUCCGGUGAUUCUGAUUUCGCCAUGUAUCUGUAAUAUUUAUAAAAUUAUUACAUUACAUUUACAGAAAAAAAAAUUGACUCGUUAAAAAAAAAAAAAAACUCUAAUCUUUGGUGCGACAGGCGCGCGCCCGUCGCACCAGAUUUGGUGCGACAGCGUGCCGCGCAUGGGUGCGCGCUGCUGCCCAGCGAUGGGCGCGCGCGCGCGCCCUGCCCCCUCCCUCCCCACCCCCAAAAUUAAGCGCAAUCACUCCAAAAUCGAAAACAAUACUCCCAAACACCACCAACCACCACAAACAUCAUCACCACCACUAUUAUUCUCAAGCUAUAACUAUUAUUAUUCUAAAAUCUCAUUUUAAAUUAAUGAAAAUAAGAAAAAUGACUAACCUAGGUUUUGUUGAAGGUUGUAGAUCGUAGAUCGGAUGCUGGUGAGAGAUGGAGCCGCCGCCGAUGAGGGUUGAUGUCGCCGCCGAUGAUGGGAGUUGGAUCGAUUUGGGAGAGAUGAGUGAAAGAGAGUGUUGGGGGAGAGAUGAGGGAGGGGUAUUUUGGUCUCAAAUAUUAUUUUAUGGCUAAUGUUGAUAGAAAUAUUUUUGGGGGGUUAAGAUGAAAAAAAGCAAAAAUAUUUUGGUUAUUACUGUAAAUUUCCCGCAUAAAAGUUGGAUUCUUUAAUUUAUAUGUAACCAAUCGAAAAAAAAUAAAAUAAAUAAUCUAUAGUAGUCAAAGUUGCCAUCUAUCUUAUCUUCUAACUUAUAAUUAUUAUAAAAAGACUUUUGCUACCUUACAUGUAACGUAAGGUACAAUUUCUCAUAAGAUUCGUGGACCCAAGUAAAAUCCACAUAUGAGUUUGUGAAAAGCUGUACCUUAUGUUGCAUGUAAGGUAGCAGCUCACUUAUAAAAAUCCAGUUUUCCACUUAUCUAGAAGUGAGUGUGUGUGUGUGGAUAGAUCUCACCUCACAUUCACAAAUCACAAUAGCAGAAGAUUAUGGCAACAAAAGUGAAGGUUUUGGGGUUUUGGUGUAGUCCUUUUUUGUUUAGGGUAGUAUGGGCAUUGAAGCUAAAGGGUGUUGAAUUUGAAUACAUUGAAGAAGACAUCUUUAACAAAAGCACCAGGCUUCUUGAGCUGAACCCAGUUCAUAAAAAGGUUCCUGUGCUUGUUCAUGAUGACAAAGUGAUAGUUGAGUCGCUUGUUAUUCUGGAGUACAUCGAUGAGACAUGGCCACAAGAUCCGUUGCUGCCUCAAGAUCCUUAUGAAAGAGCCAUGGCUCGAUUUUGGCCUAAAUUUGCAGAUGAAGAGGUGAGUGUUAAAGUUUUCACAACUUUGAAUUCAAUUAAAACUUCGAUUUGAUUUUUUCAAAACAAGUUUGUGGUUUUUCUGUCAAAGUUCUCUCUGAACUAAAAUACUGGUUUGGCC
rnacentral:lncRNA from 1 species